rnacentral:rRNA from 1 species
CCCUGGCUCAGAGUGAACGCUGGCGGCAGGCCUAACACAUGCAAGUCGAACGGCAGCACAGGAGAGCUUGCUCUCUGGGUGGCGAGUGGCGGACGGGUGAGGAAUACAUCGGAAUCUGCCUAUUUGUGGGGGAUAACGUAGGGAAACUUACGCUAAUACCGCAUACGUCCUACGGGAGAAAGUGGGGGACCGCAAGGCCUCACGCAGAUAGAUGAGCCGAUGUCGGAUUAGCUAGUUGGCGGGGUAAAGGCCCACCAAGGCGACGAUCCGUAGCUGGUCUGAGAGGAUGAUCAGCCCACACUGGAAACUGAGACCACGGUCCAGACUCCUACGGGGAGGCCAGCAGUGGGGAAUAUUGGACAAUUGGGGCGCAAGCCUUGAUCCAGGCCAUGCCCGCCGUGGGUGAAGAAGGGCCUUCCGGGUUUGUAAAGCCCCYUUUGUCCGGAAAGAAAAGUUCUGGGUUAAUAACCCAGGAUCAUGACGGUACGGAAAGAAUAAGCACCGGCUAACUUCGUGCCAGCAGCCGCGGUAAUACGAAGGGUGCAAGCGUUACUCGGAAUUACUGGGCGUAAAGCGUGCGUAGGUGGUGGUUUAAGUCAGAUGUGAAAGCCCUGGGCUCAACCUGGGAACUGCAUUUGAUACUGGAUCACUAGAGUGCGGUAGAGGAUAGUGGAAUUCCCGGUGUAGCAGUGAAAUGCGUAGAGAUCGGGAGGAACACCAGUGGCGAAGGCGACUAUCUGGACCAGCACUGACACUGAGGCACGAAAGCGUGGGGAGCAAACAGGAUUAGAUACCCUGGUAGUCCACGCCCUAAACGAUGCGAACUGGAUGUUGGGAGCAACUUGGCUCUCAGUAUCGAAGCUAACGCGUUAAGUUCGCCGCCUGGGGAGUACGGUCGCAAGACUGAAACUCAAAGGAAUUGACGGGGGCCCGCACAAGCGGUGGAGUAUGUGGUUUAAUUCGAUGCAACGCGCAGAACCUUACCUGGCCUGACAUCCAGAGACUUCCA